CCUUCACCACUCGACAUCGAGGUCCAUGAUUGUUUUGUUGACAUUCUGUUAUAUAUUGCAUGCAUACAGCAGAAUAUGUUGCCUAAACGGUCACGUUUACUCACAAAGCUACUUAACAAAGUCACUUACGAUUUUUGAAAACAAACUGACGCCUGUAAAUAUUCCAGCGAACCCAACUCCCCUCCGUGUUUUAGCUUAUUUGCCACGUCAAUGAGCACGUUUCCCGACCAAAACAAAAACACAGAGAUUUUUUCCUUGAGGUAUUUGUACGCUGUUUUGGAGCCAUGAUGUGCCACCUGCAGUUAACAGGCUGCUGCUUUGUCUCUUGGCUGAUGGCGUUGGGCCGAGGCCAAUGAUUGAGAAGCAGUUUGACCAAUGGCGUGCGUAAGGCGGGACUUAACAAGACAGGUCAAAACAGUGCAGAAACGCACACCAAAAAUUGUCUACCAUAGAAAGCAAAAGGGGAAAUUUCCUGUGACAUUGUGAGGUCAUCAUACUGGUGCACCCUUGGCCUUGUCAGUGGGUGAGGUCACAUCACUAAACUGUCUGAAGUAAGGUGUCAUGGACCAUCAUAAAAUUUGCAUCAACAUGGAGAUUUAAUUGGAGACCAUUGUUCUGUUCGAAGUGUAGUUUGUGGAAGAUGCAAUGAUGAAAUUAAUUUGAAUUGUCAAUGUUGUAUUUUAAGCAUAUAAGCGAUGUUCAGAUGAUGGUACUGUAGCACUGUUUAAAGUUUUUAAUAUUGUUGUUAUUUACAAUGGAAACUACUGUAACAGAAGAAAAUAAAGAGGGAAAAAUACAAAUUAUUUUCUCUAAUUACUUUUUGUGACAUAUAACAUACAUUUCAUGAACUACAUAUACAAUUAUCUGUGAGCCAUAAUCAAAAUCAAAAUGCUGUACAUCCCUUUCAAAAUUAUGGUCCAUCACAGUUCAUUUUUUCAAAUAACGGUCAACACAUGUUAUUUCAAUUUACAGUCAAACUGUUAAAUAAUGAUCAAAACAUGAUUUCAGUUUACAGUCAAAACAUGCUUUAUAAAGUAAUGUUGUCAACAUGUCAUUUAUAUCUACAUUCAAAUCAUGUUUAGUUAAACAACUGCUACACCAAGUUUUUAUAUUUACAGUUAAAACAUGUUUUAUUAAAUAAGGGUUUAAACAUGUUACGUGAACUUACAGUCAAAUAAUGCCAUUACAUUUAAUGGUCUAUGCAUGUAUUUGCAAUUAUACAGACAAAAUAUGUUAUUUCAGAUUACGUUUUAAACAUUUUAUAGUACUGUAUGGUCAAUGUUCUUUUUUCCUGUUGCUGUGUAAGCAUGUUACUUCAGUUCAUGGGGUUUUACCGUUAUUUUCAUUAAUGGCAAACGUUUGGCACCCUGUGCUGCCAUGCAUUUGCUCGUUUUUUUCCGUGUUU